UAGCACGGGGUAGCUGCGAGUCUGCUCCGGAGAGCCUGGUCGCGGUUGCUGGACCAUCAUCGAGCUAGUUAAUUCGGAAUGAACAACUAGUCGUGAGGCUGUGAGGCUAGUAUUCGGGUUGGGGUUAGGUGCGUGGGAUUUUCUUCUCCCUAAAGGGUAAGGGACACUUAGCUGUGUUCUCUUUCGACGGUUGGGCGACACGUGUUGUUUUCGGACUACGCUGGGCACUAGAGACACGUCUGCACGCUUCGGCACUCCACAGCGAACUGAGCCCAAGCUCACUAUCAUAAAUCUGGAACAAAUACAAUCGGAUUGAAUGGCGGCAAUCGCUUAAUUACGGCUAUGGUAGAAUCUAGAUUAAAGUGUUAAGGGACUUUCCCAAAAUUCCAAAGGAGAGGCUCCGGUGUCCUUUCAUCUCUGAUAUAUAUAUAUAUAUGCUCAGAUUUCAGAGCUUAGUUUUAGGAGUAAUGUAAUAUCGUAAGGUAGUUCGAAUUAGAAAUCAGUUGAAAAUAGAUAAAACCGAGUACGUCGUCUUUCUGUGGUUCGUUUACAUUUAAGAGUGCCUGCGUGACUAAAGGCACGUAGUUGGUAGUUCUUACAUAGGUAUGAGGGAAACAAUAGACAACGUUAGAAGAAGGACGGUUUCGCUAUCCAAGGCGGGACGACCGAAAGAUCAGAGUGUGCGAGUCGAAAAGUGUGCGUGUUGCGAGAAUCAGAGCUAAUUGAGUCGUCGAAGAGUAGAGUCGUUAGAGGUAAUCGAGUCGUCGAAGAGUAGAGUCGUGAGAAUUGAUAGAGUUGUUAGAGAGAGAGAGUGUGUGUGUGUGUGUUAGAUUCGUUGUGACGAGGGUGGUCAAAUAACUGUAAAGUUAUUUGAUAUAGAUACGAGUAUUGCAUUUAGUUUCCGUUAAAUAAACAUCGUUUUCUGUCCAAUUUAUAUUUGUAUAUUCAAUUUAAUAUUAAUAAAUUGUAAGUAAUCGGAAAAAAAAUUCUAUCCUUAUUUCCACGAUAUUACAGUAAUAUAUUGUAUUUCCCAGAUUACUUUCAUUAAUAUUCGUCUUAAGACAUUAAUAACACUCAAUUUUAAUUUUAUCAAAGCAAAAUAAAUAUUUUUGUUUAAUUAAAACUCUACUCCUAAAAAAAUAAAACUUUUCUAUUUAUGCAAAAUUGCAUGCAAUAAAAGUUUCAAUGAAUACACUUCGUUUUGUAACUGUUUUCUUCAAUCAGAAAAGAUAACGGCCAAAAAAUUAUUGUUAUUCCACAACUAAUUGGAAAUUUUGACAGUUUAAUUCGAUCAUUGGAUCGAUUACACGUACGGUGAUUUUUCAAAUUCGGAAUCAGUUACAGACCUAACUGAAGAGUUAAGCCCUGCGAUGUGUAGUUGGUCCAGGGACAGUGUGGCAAAUCUAUUCGUUCAACGCUGAUUGGUUCCGCCAUUUAUAAAAGCGCUUCCUGCAGCAGUUAUGUAUAGAUUGGUAUAAAUAUAAAUGUAUGAAGUAUACGUUUACAAAGUUGUCUGUAAACAAAGUGUAAUAAUAUUUACCGUGUAUUGGAGUGUAUAUAACGACGGAAAUAAAGAAUAAUAAGAAAAAUCAUCAUAGAGAACAUACAGAAUUAACAUUUAAGUUUGGAACGUUAGUUCAAAUGCCUGAUUACUCAGCCAAGGGAUGCAGAAACAAGUCAAAGAGUGGCCAUAGUUGUACACACAGGUCUGUUAACUGCUGUAAAGGAGAUAAGGUUCUUAAUGUCGCAAGAUGUACUUUACCAAUCGGCCACCAUUGAACACUGCGAUCGAGUAGCUAGGGUUUUGUGUUUGGCGCCAUUCUUCGGUGAAAGCACUAAAGAUACAUCUACAAUACUCCAUUUAUUACAGAAAGCAUUGUUUAAAUGAAUAUUAAUUAUGAACCAUUAUUAAACAUGCAUUAUUAUUACCAACAAACAAGUUUAACAAGACCACAAUUUUCAAAUUAAAUAUGUACACAUAUCUUUAAUGCUUUUACAUUUGACGCAUAUAUUGGAAAAACAUACAGCGAGUAGAUAUUACGGAAUCAGAUCCAACAGCAAACAAUACAAUAUGUAUAGAACUCUAAUCAUGGAAACACCAACACCUUUGGUAGCCGAAGUUAUGCACAAACGUAGCAGUAUAUGCACCACUGCGAACAGGCAGUACAUUGACAGAGAUUAUAGAAGUAGCAUUGGCAACUACUACUUAUGAACCAAAUAACAGGCAAACAAAAAUAAUUCCGCAAGACUUUCUUGACAAAAUCAGAGGAAAAAAGAUUCACUUUCUGCGUACGAGAAUUCCAACUAUUUCCUAUGGAAAGCCACGAACAAAAUAAAGGAGCCAAUUAAACUAAUCCCAGCAAUCAGAUUAACGGACAACACAUGAGCCAGAAGCAACGAAGAGCAAGCUGAAGAAUUUUCCAACCACCUUUGUUGAAGUUAUCUCUUCGAGGAACGCGUGAUGAAUGUGUAACAGAAAUAUAUUUAAGUAUAAGUGUAACUCGUUACAUUACAACAGAGCUUCGAAGCCAUGAGUCUAUGGGUAUUUAUAUAAUUACGAAAACUGGCCGGUCUAUAUAUACCCUGCUGCACCAUCUGUGCAUGGCAUAUUCCUAAAAAAGGCUAUGAGACUGAGAGGCCCUUCAAAUUGAUUUAGAGCUAAACAAUACUCAAUAGCAUCGGGGACUAAGAGAACUAAACGCUAGAGAAGAUGUAGUUUUCCUAGAAACCUAAUUUUUGUCGUAAAUAUUGAAAUCUUGGUUUCGGUAACGCCUUCGUAAAUAUAUCUGCUUGUUACGUCCGGCGACUCUCUACACAAAGCAGACUCCACGCCACAACCAUACCGUCGACCGAUGGGUCCGCGGUAGAAAACGGUAACAAGGAAGAAUGGCCGCAGGAAAUCCCUGACUCCUAAAGCCGCGAGCAAGGUGGUUGGAGCGGAGGAAGCGGCGAUUGAAGCCAUGAACUUAGGUGAUUAAGAUUAAGGGUACGCACCCUCCAGAACAAUCUGGGACAGUCAAGACCUGCUUUUCCAAACCAUUCUGGAGAGCACGGUUGCCCUAGCGGUGGUGGCCGAGCCAUACAGAGUCCUGGACGCUCCGGACUGCGCCGGAGAUACAGACGGCUGUCACCUGGACAUCAGCGCCGGCAUCGUCCGCCCACAGGGAUCCUCUGGAGCGCGGCAACGGAUACGCAGCGGUCGAAUGGUCAGGAAUGGUGGUAGUGGCCGUGUAUGUGUCGCCCAACAGCGAAUGGACAGCGUUCGAGGAGUUCUUGAACGGGGUAGACGACUGCCAUUACGAUUACGAGAUAUAGUAUUACGUUAUAAUACAUUACAUUAUAACGUAUUCCGUUAAAUUGAAUUACGUUAUAUCAUAUUACGUUUUGCCGUUCCUUCACAUACUGAGCAGAAGGCGAACGUUACCAUGAUCGCGGACGGAUAUUAAGACAGGCGGAGUGGGGAUAUGGUAAGAAUAGAAAGGGAGGCAAGUGGAUCAACACAGCAGUUGCCCGUAACCAGUCGUCAGUAGGAAUCGCAACCAGAGAUUUCUGAAGAAGUCGCUGGUCAAGAAAGCAAACGAACUGCGGAACGAAGCGCCGCGUAUUAAGUUGGCAGCCUUCACGUAAUAGAGUACAUUCAGUAAUAUAGUAUUACGUUAUAUAUUAUAACGCUAUAACGCAUUACGUUAUAAAGUAUAGCGUUAUAACGUACUACGUUAUAUAGUAUUACGUAAUAUGGAAAUAACGUAUUACGUUAUAUAGUAUAAGUAAAAUCCAAUGCAACCACAGCUAUCAAUAUUGAAGAUUAAAUAUGUAAUUGAACGAAUCUCCGCUUCCGUUGAGGAUAUGUAGACAAUUCGAUGCUCGUUAUACUCCACGUUUGAUGCCAAAUACAACGCACAUCAUCUGGUUUGCGCUAUGUCCACUCUUUUCCUGUCAAAUCCGAUGCAAUUAUAAUUUUUAAUGCUCAAGGCUAAAUAUUCAAUUCUACGAAUCUCCGCUGCUAUUGGACAAAUUUCGACAAUUCGAUACGCGUUGUACUCCACAUUUGCUGUUUUACACAGCGCACAUCAGUCGGUUUGCACUAUGUCAUCUCUUUUCCCUGUCAAAUCCGAUGCAGUUAGAAUUUUUAAUGCUCAAGGGGUAAAUAUUGAAUUCUACGAAUCUCCGCUACUACUCAGGAUACAGAGGCAGUUCGAUGCGCAUUGUACUCCGUAUUGGCUGCUUUAUACAGCGCACAUCAGCUGAUUUGCACUGUGUUAAUCCUGGACCCUGUCAAAUCCAAUGGAGUUAGAACUUUUAAUUCUCGAGGCUAAAUAUUGAUCUCCGCUGUUAUUAGGGAUACCUAGGCAUGUUGGGUCCCAAAGGUGCUAGUGGUAUCAUUGCACUGUUCACGCCCAGUAGUGCCAAGUGCCAACUCCUCCUCCAAGUCGGUGGGGCUGGUAAAUACUGACUUGUCAGUGGCUACGUGGAUGGCGACGUGGCUUAAGAACUCAUCCUGCCCGAGGAAGAGAACAUGCAUCAUGGCGUAAACAAUCACACGUCGCAGACCCGAUCGGGUGUCGUGGCGGGUUAAGCCUUUCGUUACUGGCGGCUUCUCCUGCGUCACAAGCGCUCUGCGCCAAAAAGAAAAAACUUUCCUCGAAACAGGGUAUUUAUAACUUCUUAACACACUCACUUUUAAUUGAAAUUUGGGUAGGCCUACUUUGGGGGGGGGGGGGGGGACAAUCGUCUCCCCUAACGCCACAUUUAGUUAGUUAGUUCAUAGGAUAGGCCUAACGAGAAGACGCGGGGAGUGUACCGGCAGUAAUUUCCAAGAGGUCUCGGACACUGCUGCCAAACGUGUAGGUUGGCCACCGUGGAGUUUUUGUCAGUAGGAGUCUGGCACUACUCCACUAAUUCUCCAGAAUGCAGCGGAGUGUCCAUGAGGAUUUCUCCACGUAGAAGAAAAAAAGAAAGAAGGUGUUGAAGCAUAUAAAUAGGUGAUAUAUCGUAUUUCAAUUCUUUGAAUUUUGUUUGAAUUAUUGUUAAUUACAAUCACAAUUUCUGAUAAUAUCAUGCACACGAUUAAGUGUAACCACGCUCUUAAUCGUCAUCGUUGUCAAUUACAAUUAUAAUUCCAAGUUUACUUACAUUCAUUUUAACGAAACCAAUGUUUAUUGCUAGAACACGCGCAUAUUCGUACAACGAUGUUAAAAAUCUGAGCGUAAUGGAAAUGUACGUACAGCAGAUACUCACAGGAAAAACCAACGAGACUAAUAAUAAAAUCAAUGAAUUAGAAAAAAAGAGCUAUAGACAAAUAUCUUAUAAUAUACCGUGGCAUAAUCUGCAAUUUAUUAUAAAAUAAUUGAUCCCAGCAGUAUCAAUUAUAAAAGAAGAUGGCUGAAUAUGAUAGACACUGUCGAAUACUAAUCAAAUAUAAUCAUUUAGUUAAUCUUUAAGAUUUAAGUUAAGAUACAUCUUUGAGGAAUCAAUAAGUCUUUCGCUAAUAGCCUAAUAGAUCCCUUGAUAGAUCAAACGAAGAAAUACCUAACCGCGAUUACAGCCAAUUGGUACAUAUUAUUCGAUACAUAAUUAAUAUCUGUAUCGCGUACAGCGAUGCAAGUGGUAUUGAAGAAAAUAGCCAUUUUAUGUUACAACUAUAACGAGUAAAUUUACUCGUUUAACUUGAGAGGAAUUAAAAAGGUACCUGACUUUUAAAUAAGCAUUAAAUAAGAAAUUUAAAUAUCGCAGACGGUGAUGUAGGUGUUAUUCAAGAAAAGAGAACAUUUUAUUUUGUAAUUAGCACGAGUAAAUGAACGAAUAUCGAUAAUAUAAUAUAAUGAUUAAUAUGAA